GGCGUAAAGAGCUCGUAGGUGGUUUGUCGCGUAGUUCGUGAAAUCUCACGGCUUAACUGUGAGCGUGCGGGCGAUACGGGCAGACUUGAGUACUGCAGGGGAGACUGGAAUUCCUGGUGUAGCGGUGGAAUGCGCAGAUAUCAGGAGGAACACCGGUGGCGAAGGCGGGUCUCUGGGCAGUAACUGACGCUGAGGAGCGAAAGCGUGGGGAGCGAACAGGAUUAGAUACCCUGGUAGUCCACGACGUAAACGGUGGGUACUAGGUGUGGGUUUCCUUCCUUGGGAUCCGUGCCGUAGCUAACGCAUUAAGUACCCCGCCUGGGGAGUACGGCCGCAAGGCUAAAACUCAAAGAAAUUGACGGGGGCCCGCACAAGCGGCGGAGCAUGUGGAUUAAUUCGAUGCAACGCGAAGAACCUUACCUGGGUUUGACAUGCACAGGACGCCGGCAGAGAUGUCGGUUCCCUUGUGGCCUGUGUGCAGGUGGUGCAUGGCUGUCGUCAGCUCGUGUCGUGAGAUGUUGGGUUAAGUCCCGCAACGAGCGCAACCCUUGUCUCAUGUUGCCAGCGGGUAAUGCCGGGGACUCGUGAGAGACUGCCGGGGUCAACUCGGAGGAAGGUGGGGAAGACGUCAAGUCAUCAUGCCCCUUAUGUCCAGGGCUUCACACAUGCUACAAUGGCCGGUACAAAGGGCUGCGAUGCCGCGAGGUUAAGCGAAUCCUUUUAAAGCCGGUCUCAGUUCGGAUCGGGGUCUGCAACUCGACCCCGUGAAGUCGGAGUCGCUAGUAAUCGCAGAU
rnacentral:rRNA from 1 species